rnacentral:rRNA from 1 species
CACCCGAAACUGAUUUAGCUAACUGUAAAAAGAGGCGAUUAGUGAAGGUGAAGAGGGUGAUUGGGGUGAAGUCGUAACAAGGUAGCAGUAGGUGAACCUGCAGAAGGAUCA